UAAUACGGAGGAUCCGAGCGUUAUCCGGAUUUAUUGGGUUUAAAGGGUGCGUAGGCGGGCUGACAAGUCAGCGGUGAAAUAUCGUGGCUCAACCACGGAACUGCCGUUGAAACUGUCGGUCUUGAGUGUAGAUGAGGUGGGUGGAAUUCGUGGUGUAGCGGUGAAAUGCAUAGAUAUCACGAAGAACUCCGAUUGCGUAGGCAGCUCACUAGACUACAACUGACGCUGAAGCACGAAGGUGCGGGGAUCAAACAGG
rnacentral:rRNA from 1 species